GACCAGAGCUUGCCAGGGAACUGCCUCUGGCAGGAAAAAUGCUCACACACCCCUUACUUUCCUGUGUGUAGAUCAUGCGUACAGUGGUGCCUCGCAAGACGAAA